rnacentral:rRNA from 1 species
UACAGAGGUCUCGAGCGUUGUUCGGAUUCAUUGGGCGUAAAGGGCGUGUAGGCGGGGUUGUAAGUCGGGGGUGAAAUUUCGGAGCUUAACUCCGAAACUGCAUUCGAUACUGCGGUGCUUGAGGACUGGAGAGGAGACUGGAAUUCAUGGUGUAGCAGUGAAAUGCGUAGAGAUCAGGAGGAAGACCAGUGGCGAAGGCGGGUCUCUGGACAGUUCCUGACACUGAGACACGAAGGCCAGGGGAGCAAACGGG